AAAAUUCCAAAUUUUUUUUAAUGCAAAUUUCAUCAUCAUUUCGUGUUGUUCCAUUUUCGCUCUGAAAAAUGAAAAGAGAAGGAAAAUAUAGAAUGAAACUAGAACAGGUUGCUAAUUAGGAUAUCAACGCAUUAACCCUUAUCUUGUUAUCGGAUGUGACAAUGCUGUUUAAAAGUAUAAGAAGAUCCAUUAGAAAUUUUAAUUUAAAUAUAAAUUUUUCAUCUAUUAUGAAUAUGUGACACGACACGACAUAAUUUAUUAUGAUAUCGUAUUUUUCUUUUAUUGAAGGUAUC